rnacentral:rRNA from 1 species
AGAGCGAACGCUGGCGGCAGGCCUAACACAUGCAAGUCGAACGCCGUAGCAAUACGGAGUGGCAGACGGGAUAGUAACACGUGGGAACGCGCCCUUCGGUUCGGAAUAACUCAGGGAAACUUGAGCUAAAUACCGGAUACGCCCUUACGGGGAAAGAUUUAUUGCCGAAGGAACGGCCCGCGUCGGAUUAGCUAGUUGGUGAGGUAAUGGCUCACCAAGGCGACGAUCCGUAGCUGGUCUGAGAGGAUGACCAGCAUCACUGGGACUGAGACACGGCCCAGACUCCUACGGGAGGCAGCAGUGGGGAAUAUUGGACAAUGGGCGCAAGCCUGAUCCAGCCAUGCCGCGUGGAUGAUGACGGCCCUAGGGUUGUAAAGUCCUUUUAACGGGGAGAUAAUGACGUACCGUAGAAUAAGCCCGGCUAACUUCGUGCCAGCAGCCGC